GAUAAACGCUGGCGGCGCACAUAAGACAUGCAAGUCGAACGGAAGUCGUUAUACAAGGAGAGAAGAUUUAUCGGAUUGAAUUAUAUAACAAUGGCUUUAGUGGCGGACUGGUGAGUAACGCGUAAGAAAUCUACCUAUUAGAGGGGAACAACAAUGAGAAAUCAUUGCUAAUACCGCAUAUGCCAUAAACAUCGCAUGAUGAAAGUGGGAAAGGAGCAAUCCGCUGAUAGAUGAUCUUGCGUCUGAUUAGUUAGUUGGUGGGGUAAUGGCCUACCAAGACGACGAUCAGUAGCCGGACUGAGAGGUUGAACGGCCACAUUGGGACUGAGAUACGGCCCAGACUCCUACGGGAGGCAGCAGUCGGGAAUAUUGCGCAGUGGAGGAAACUCUGACGCAGUGACGCCGCGUGCAGGAAGAAGGUUUUCGGAUUGUAAACUGCUUUAGACAGGGAAGAGAAAGGACAGUACCUGUAGAAUAAGCUC
rnacentral:rRNA from 1 species